rnacentral:rRNA from 1 species
UACGUAGGGUGCGAGCGUUGUCCGGAAUUAUUGGGCGUAAAGAGCGUGUAGGCGGUCCGGUAAGUCAGCUGUGAAAGUCAGGGGCUCAACCCUUGAAAGCCGGCCGAUACUGUCGGACUAGAGUCCGGAAGAGGCAAGUGGAAUUCCCGGUGUAGCGGUGAAAUGCGCAGAUAUCGGGAGGAACACCAAUGGCGAAGGCAGCUUGCUGGGACGGUACUGACGCUGAGGCGCGAAAGCGUGGGGAGCAAACAGG